CCCCCGUGAUUGGUGCGGACUUUAUGACUGCAAAGUAUCUUAGCCAAAUGAGACAACAAAUUUUGGAAGAAAAAUUUGAAUUGGAUAAAUAUUUAGAGGAAGGAUGUGAAAGUUAUAACCCCAACUUUGAUAUCUUAACUUGGUGGAAAGUUAAUUCUUCGAGAUAUUCUAUCCUCUCUUCCAUCGCUCGAGAUAUUUUGGCCGUGCCCAUCUCGACUGUAGCAUCAGAGGCCGCAUUCAGCACAAGAGGUCAUAUACUCGAUGUCUUUCGUAGCGCCUUGACCCCAAGCAUGGUGGAGGGUCUUAUAUGUGCUCAAGAUUGGCUACGAUCCUCGCCACUUUCACUUUCAAUUGAGGAUGACUUUGAAGAACAAGAAAAUUUUGAGUCAGAAUGUUCAACUACAAUUAUGGAGCCGAACUCGAUAUCGGUUUCUCUUGAUGAUUGACGAAGUUGGAAAUUGGUACUUGUUAAACCAAUUUUUUUUUAAUUUUUAUUGCAAAUUUACUUUUUCAUAUUCAGAUUAGGCAUUUAGUAAUUGUUGUAUUCUUCAUUUCUUACUUGCAAGUUGACCUUACUAAAGAAUGAUUUUCUUUCUUUCCAAAUCUCGGAUGUGGGGUUAUUAUCA